rnacentral:rRNA from 1 species
UACAGAGGUCCCAAGCGUUGUUCGGAUUCACUGGGCGUAAAGGGUGCGUAGGCGGUCGAGUAAGUCUGACGUGAAAUCUCCGGGCCUAACCCGGAAACUGCGUUGGAAACUACUUGGCUAGAGGAAUGGAGGGGAGACUGGAAUACUUGGUGUAGCAGUGAAAUGCGUAGAUAUCAAGUGGAACACCAGUGGCGAAGGCGAGUCUCUGGACAUUUCCUGACGCCGAGGCACGAAAGCCAGGGGAGCAAACGGG